rfam:Planktothrix serta PCC 8927 isolate BBR_PRJEB10992 genome assembly, scaffold: BBR_A_PL8927_scaffold60
GUCAGCACCCCGUACUGAAGCGACGGGGCACCAGGCGCGAAGCGCAGGCUUCGCGCCUGGUGCCUCACCUUCAGUGAUAGUUGACCAGCCUAAGUCUUAAUUGACUACGUUUUUUGAGUCAUGACACCCUGUGGAUGCGUAGCUAGUCCCUGGCUCUGUCGUUAGUAGUUAAACAUCUUUAUCGGGUUAAGGAAGUGCUACUAGCCUAACAAGCUCUUAAAACCUUGGCGAAGCUAACUUUAC